rnacentral:rRNA from 1 species
UACGUAGGGUGCAAGCGUUAAUCGGAAUUACUGGGCGUAAAGGGUGCGUAGGCGGCGCGGUAAGUCGGGUGUGAAAUCUCGGGGCUUAACUCCGAAACUGCAUUCGAUACUGCCGUGCUUGAGGACUGGAGAGGAGACUGGAAUUUACGGUGUAGCGGUGAAAUGCGUAGAUAUCGUAAGGAAGACCAGUGGCGAAGGCGGGUCUCUGGACAGUUCCUGACGCUGAGGCACGAAGGUCAGGGGAGCAAACGGG